rnacentral:lncRNA from 1 species
AAAACAGGAUCUAAAAAGAUAAAAUAUAUAAAGGCCUUUUACAUUGUUAAAUAAUGUUUAGCUUAAAGUUACCUCCUUACAUAUUUUAAGUCCAGCCUAAAUUAUUUUCUGUGCACUGUGAACUAUAGCAAAUGGAGGUGUAAGCACACCAUAGACCACACCUGUGCCAAUCACUGAGUUUUGGCCAAUCAUAAGUAGCCAGCUGUUUGAACCAUGUUCAAAUAAGGCAAACACCAAGCUAUAACCAAUCCAGUUGUUUCUGUACCUCACUUCCAUUUUCUGUUUGCACCUCACUAUUUUUUUUCUGUUUGUAAAUCUUCUUCCACCGCAUGGCUGCACUGGAGUCUCUGAGCCUCCGCUGGCUCAUAAGGCUGCUGGACUCAUGAACUGUUCAUUACAAAAUUAAUGUUUUAAAAAUUUAAUUCAGGUGAAGUUUUUCUUUUAUCAGAUGGUGUCAGAAGCAGGGUCCCAAGUAGAGCUUCUAACAAACCCUAGGAGUCCUGGGCGACCAAAGCGAGGUAGCUGCAGAACCCAUUUGUGUCCAUUGAUCUCUUGGAGCAGCUGGGGAUCAUGCUAUGAGCGACAGGAUUAGGCAUGAAUAGGACCAUGGAACAUGGAGAACUUUUUCUCUUAAAAAAAGAAAACUUGAGAGCAGAUGUGACUGCUGGAAAAGAUCCCUUCAUGACCGACAAGCAGCUGCCUGAAUUUUUAAUUCAGUAUUGCAUUGGGUGGGUCUUUCUCUGGCCUCCCUGAGCUCCUUGACUUCCCCACUCUACCACAGGCAAUGUUUUUCUUUUUUUCUCUCCUUUCCCUUUCCUAUCUUUUCUGUUACUCAGGGCAGCCAUCUUGCCCAGAGACCACAUGUUAAAUCUCCUGGUGGGUGGUUGGAUUAAACGUGACAGGGCCAAACUGGGGGCAAGUUUGGGCAUUGCCAAUUUGAUAUUGGGUGCUAAGCAAAGUGGCUAAUGUUUAUAAUUUGUCGCAUGUAUUUUACUCUGGCCGAAAUUGAACAUGUUAAUUUGGUUACUCCAUGCCACCCUUUGGACAGCGUCUUACAAAAUUGACAGGCUUUUGCCUGUGGUUCAAUGAAACAGAAAGAAAAAAAAAAAAGAUUUUCUUUUGUGUUGCAUCUUGGCCCCCAGAGCUAUAGUGUGGCUGCUCAGGGAGGGGGAGGCGAGAAGCUUGGCAAGCUGGCAAAAGGGUAAGAAUUUAUUACUAGUCAGACUUCUGGCCUCUCUCUCUCUGUGCAAACUGGCUGAGUGAAUGAUAAAAACAAAUCACUGUUUAUCUCCUCUGUAAAGUUUUGAUUAAUGUGAUAAAGGAUUCUGAGGCUAUUCUUAAGCUGUAGCAUAUCUGGUGUGCUUUGUGUGUCUUUCUGUAUGGUCCUGUCAUAAAGAUAAGUACCUUAGGAUAGAAUAUGGGCUUAGGACCCCGCAAGCUUGCUAUUCAAGACAACCCAGAAAACUGUUCAGUAACAAACUUUACUGCAGGUCCCUGAAACAAAAAAGAAACUGGAUGGGGUCUCCAUCUUGUUUUAUGACCUUGGGAGCUUGACCUUGUAACUAAGUGGCAGCACUUUCUCUUGGUUUCUGCCAUCUAGGAAACAAGGAUUUUGGGGUUCAUGUCAUAGUUAGCUCUAAAAAUUACCUUGAGUAGAUAAAAGCCUUUGCAAACUCAAAAUUGACUGCUUUAGACUCCUUCUGGGAAGAGCAAUGGAAACUGCCCAGUGCUGUAAUUCAGCAGCUAAUGCUUUGCCAUUUUACAAUGGCAGUCCAGGUUCAAUUCUAGCGUAGGGAAUGAGCACUUACUGGGUGAUAUCUAUUCGACCUUUACCAUUCGUUGAUUCUCUUUUCCUCCAAGAACAACUUCUAGCUUUCCUUCUUAUUUUUUUUUUUCUGAGCUACCCUUGAAGAUUCUAAAUUGUGUAAAAAUGAUUUACCACCCUUUUGAAAAUAUUUCAUACACUCGUGAUUGAGUCAGAACCUUAGUUGAAGUUUGUUUCACUUGUGAGGUUACUUUUGGUGAACUUAAAAGGCCAGAAAUAUGGACCAUUUGGCCCAGGUAAAGUAGUAUAAUAAAUAAUUUAAAGGGACAGUUUCUUACAGAGCACUGUGGUUAAAAGUCAGCUUAGUUAACAGUGGAUGUCCAAGCUGUAUGUGUAUUUAAAAGGCCUUUAUGUUUUUUUUUCCUCCUUCUUGGAUUUUAUUUUUCUGAAGAAAAAAGGGUUUAUUUUCUUCUCAGUCAACUGAGUUUUUUUCUCCACUUUGUCUUCUUGCUACUCAAUGUACACAAGACAGGAACUAAGAUAACUUCUAAUAGCCUGGGACUCCUUGGGGAAAAGAGAGAAGGCUCCAUAGAUCCCAUUUUGAGAAAAAUCUCUGUUUUCUUCAUGAAACCCCAGGAAUUGGAAGUGGAUAGAUCCCUCUCAAAAUCUAAGGCUCUGUUUUGUUUUGCAUUGUAUUAUUUCAUGGUUUUGAGUUUUGGGGAUAUCAGAAAAUACUUUGCAUUCUAACUAGGUGGAAAAUACACUUUUAGAAAUGGCUAUUGGCUGCUAGGGAGGAUACUCAGCUCUUUACACAUCCGGAUUAGAGAAACAUGCUCUUGGCCACCUAGAAGGUAUGAAGAUAUCGCCACUCCCCACUGAGAGAUGCCACUCCCCACUGACAGAUAAGACUCCCGUGGGAGGAUGGAUUGAUUGCAAAAUGGGCUAAGUGGCUUUGGGUUGUCAUGCAAUGAAAUGCAUGGUAAAAGCGUUGCACUUUCUUCUCCCAUAGCAUUUCCUUCUUUUUGAGAAUCCAGGAUGUGAUAUAAAAAUGGGGCCAUUAAUUUUGGAAAACUUUGUCUUCCAAAGAAGCCUGCUUAUUAGGCCCUAAGAACUGCAUGACUUUCCUGGCCCUGUUCCCUGAAGAACUCCACCGUGACACCAGUAAUCCAAUUAAGAAACUUAAAAACUGGCAAAUAAAAAAAUCUUACAACUUCUGGAUCUUCAUCUGUCUGUCUGUGUAGUUAUAUAUGUGUUGUAUAUGUGACGUUCAUAUAAAAAAGCUCUAAUUAAUUGGCUUGAAGAAAAAUAAGCACUUAAAUCAAAUAUUUUGAAAGAAAAAUGAAAACUGUAAAGCCUUUUAGUUCAUGUGACUUUAGUAGCCUUUGGAAAAUAAAAGCAGUUUUAAAAAGAUUAUCGGUAAAAUAAAAACACUUGGUCUAAGUUAGGCAAGUCAG